rnacentral:rRNA from 1 species
AUUGAACGCUGGCGGCAUGCUUUACACAUGCAAGUCGAACGGCAGCGCGGGCUUCGGCCUGGCGGCGAGUGGCGAACGGGUGAGUAAUGCAUCGGAACGUGCCCAGUAGUGGGGGAUAGCCCGGCGAAAGCCGGAUUAAUACCGCAUACGACCUGAGGGUGAAAGCGGGGGACCGAAAGGCCUCGCGCUAUUUGAGCGGCCGAUGUCGGAUUAGCUAGUUGGUGGGGUAAAUGGUUACCAAGGCGACGAUCCGUAGCUGGUCUGAGAGGACGACCAGCCACACUGGGACUGAGACACGGCCCAGACUCCUACGGGAGGCAGCAGUGGGGAAUUUUGGACAAUGGGGGCAACCCUGAUCCAGCCAUGCCGCGUGCGGGAAGAAGGCCUUCGGGUUGUAAACCGCUUUUGUUCGGGAAGAAAGCCUCUGGGCUAAUACCCCGGGGGGAUGACGGUACCGGAAGAAUAAGCACCGGCUAACUACGUG